rnacentral:lncRNA from 1 species
GGGGUCAUCUUUGCCUAAGUAUUGUCAUGGCUAUAGAAUAUCUGAUAGGACCACUGUGGUUGGUAUAGUUAUGGUCAUAUAUCUUACUAUGGUUUGGCAAGCUGAAAUGUGCCUGAGCAAAUUGCCGUUAUAUAUCUGAUUUCGUCAUACCACAUGGGUAGUCAGAAUGGGCAAUUGGGCAAUUGGGCAUGUUCUAGCACCUCU